rnacentral:rRNA from 1 species
UACGUAGGGUGCAAGCGUUGUCCGGAAUUAUUGGGCGUAAAGAGCUCGUAGGCGGUCUGUCGCGUCUGGUGUGAAAAUCCAGGGCUUAACCCUGGACCUGCAUCGGGUACGGGCAGACUAGAGUGCGGUAGGGGAGAUCGGAAUUCCUGGUGUAGCGGUGAAAUGCGCAGAUAUCAGGAGGAACACCGGUGGCGAAGGCGGAUCUCUGGGCCGAUACUGACGCUGAGGAGCGAAAGCAUGGGUAGCGAACAGG